CCCCUGGGCUCUGACAGCGCCGCCGCCUUGUUGGCGCCGCGGCGAGGCUUCUCCCUCCCCCGUGGCCCCCGGGGGGCGGCCAGGAGCGCGGACGCCGGGCGAGUCCCCCCAUCACGUAGACGCAGCCGCCAGGUUGCCCGCCAGCUUCUCACCUGUCGGCCUCCAUGCGCUGUCCGAGCCCCGCACCGGUCUCCGUGCGGUGACGUCACAGCCAGGUGUGCCGCCCGCAGAGAAGCCCCGGAUCUGGAACCCACGGGCGGCAGACAUGGGCGUGCCGGGCUUUAUUUACAUCCGCAGGUAAAGGGGGAAUGGAGAACGCUCAUUCCACAGGUUCCGAAUAAAAUAAAUGAGAAGAUGAAACUUAGGAGCCCAGAGGCGGGUUGCCAUGGCUUUACAACGCCCAGCCUGCCGCCCAGCCAGGGUAACGAUGGCCCUGGAAUGAUGGCUGUGGAAGAGGACACGGUGGGCCUUUACGUUAACGGACGGAGGACACGGAGAUCGAAGGCCAGAGGGCCAAUGACAUGCCUAAAACGCCCAACGAGGAUUGGAACAACCCAGGCCUUUUUGGGUCCUUCACGCUCAAUGAGCUAAGUUUAAGAUUCCCGUUACCAAGGAAUGAUUCCAGGUUCUCAUCAAUAAGACGACGUCUCGAUUUAUUCUUGAUAAGGUUCAUGCUUGAAAAUGACUGUUCGCAUAAAUGUGUAGACCCGAAUAAGGAAAGAACAGCAAACGCCAGUUUUUUCAGUUGAUUAUAUGAGUCGGGAAUACUGUUCCAGGUGUUAAAA